rnacentral:tRNA from 1 species
GACGCUGUCGUCUAACGGUAAGACAGGGCCUUGUCAGGGUCUGUAUAUCGGUUCGAUUCCGGUCAGUGUCG